UAACUCCUAUAGACCCUUCUCAGGUGCAGCCAGAGACACACUAGCCCACUGAUGGACGGACAGACGUGGACAGGGUCCAUCUCACUAAACCACCCACCACUGCCACAGCUGCCUACAACAGACACAUCAGAUGAGACUCCAGGCAAAUACAUAAUUUUCACUGAGGACUUAUUGGUUUUAAGAAUAGGUCCUGGUGUAGAGAAGUCCCUCAACCUACUGUGCAACAUGUUUUGAGAAGCGGGUAAGCUAUAUGUUUUGUGGUUUUGUUUCAUAAAUGCAUCUACAAGAAGACCAGUAUUGACUGAAUGAAGCUUUUGUUUAAAGGGCUAAAAUAUGCUUUGUGGUUUUAUAUGCAGAAACUACUUUAAACCUAAUGACUAUUAAUUGUAUCAUAGCUUGUGAUGUAGUCUGCUCAUGGCUUUUAAGGUAAAUUGUGCCAUGAUCCACUGCCAUUCUAAUUGCUUUAAUUAACAAGUCAUUACCACACUACUGUUACAUCUUAAUUAUGCAUACAGACAGGUAGACUUAUUUUACAUAUGUGAACUAAUAGUUGUCAAAGCAAAUGCAAAUUGUAUUCCGCAAGUAAACUCUCUCUGAAAUUUCUAGGGAUGUUCUUUAAGUGAAAUUAAUAUUCAAACUGAAGAUUUUAGUUAAAAGAACUGAGUGCAGAUUAAAGUCUUGUUGUGAUUUAAACAUAGUCAAGAGUACAACUGUGAUACUUCAUGGAAGUUAUGCAAUAAAAUGUCUCUAACCUGCAAACAAAUCUAUCAAGCAGACGGCACAGUACUGAAUUUGAAACCAGAAAUACUGGGUUUUUAUAUAAAUGCUUCAUAGAUUUGUUUUAUGAUAAAGGGUACAUAACUCUCCUAAACCUCACACCACCUCUUAAAUAGGGACAGUAAGUCCACAUCAACACGCCUGCCUUAGCUAUUAUUAAACUCUUACAGUAUGAUGUAAAGUGAAAGUACAAUGUAACAUCAUUCCUAGGCCAACUUUGUCCAGUUUUAUACAGAAACGUGCCAACUUUUCUGUUUGCAAGGAUAAUAUCAAAGCAAACACCAGAAGGUUGUAUCUUUGAUGCAUUUUUUCCAAAUCAUACACAUAAUAAACCAAAGACAAAUGAUGAAUAUUAUUUCAGAAAAUAUAAAGUCUUCCCCUUUCUUCUUUUGCCAAGGAAGUCUAAUAUUUUCACCAUUUUUAUGCACACAAUCAACUUUAUUUAACCUGGAAGUUAAUGUCUCAUUGUUUUCAUUGUUCUAAAUAAACACCUUUUCCC
rnacentral:lncRNA from 1 species